CACGUAGGGUGCGAGCGUUGUCCGGAAUUAUUGGGCGUAAAGAGCUCGUGGGCGGUGUGUCGCGUCGGCCGUGAAAACCUGCAGCUUAACUGUGGGCUUGCGGUCGAUACGGGCAUCACUGGAGUUCGGCAGGGGAGACUGGAAUUCCUGGUGUAGCGGUGAAAUGCGCAGAUAUCAGGAGGAACACCGGUGGCGAAGGCGGGUCUCUGGGACGUGACUGACGCUGAGACGCGAAAGCGUGGGGAGCAAACAGG
rnacentral:rRNA from 1 species